rnacentral:rRNA from 2 species
CCGUUGCACACGAGUCAGUCGAUCCUAAGCCCUAGGAGAAAUCCGAUACUAACGGCGAUGGGAAAUACUUUUUUCUGAGACGGAAGCCCAUUGAUCGGGCGAAAGGGAAUCCGGUUCCUAUUCCGGAACCCGGCAGCGGAACCGUUGUUUGUCGGGCCCUCACAAGGGGUUCGUCAGGGUAACCUAAAAGGGCCCGGAGACGCCGUCGGGAGCCCCGGAAAGAGUUUUCUUUUCUGCAUGAGCGUUCGAGUUCCCUGGAAUCCUCUCGCAGGGAGAUAGGGUUUGGAACGCGA